AGGCAGAGGCUUCAACCCACUGAGCCACCCAGGCGCCCUGAGCGCUCUCAAUGAGUUGGGUCGCUCCCUUGUCUCCUGCGUGUUUUCCGCUUCAGAAUCACCUGUGGGUCAGGGCUCCGCCCAGUUUGGGCCCUGCUGGAAAAUCGGGCUGCACGGUACCAGCCACAUAACACACAGGUUCCGAAAUAUUUGGUGGGUGAACAGCAGGUGGACUGGCCCGCAGCAGGUUGCUGGGAGGGGCAGAGAAUAGGCGAUUGUGACAUCAUGAUGACUCAUCUCCCAUCCUCAGUGCAUUUAUGGAUUAAUGUUAGUUCUUGCCCUUAUGGCCAGGGACUCUCAGGAGGGGCAGGAAAUGCUAGAGGGGAUUCAGAGCUGUUGGUGGCUGGGGGCUCCGUGUUGGCCCAUGAUGACCUAAGAAAGCCCUGAGCAGAGGCAUCCGGAUUCCCCGGCUCAGUGCAACGGGAUGGACAUGAAGAAGGUCCUCCGUUGCGUCUGGCACACUCAGGAAGGAAAGGCAGCCUCCCCAGGUUCCUGAGGUUCCGUCGUUCCAGAACCACCACGUGAGGACUAGAAGGAGCCCCCGGGAGACGGUGGCUCCAUCUGUGUCUCAGAACAGGUUUAUUUCGGCCAAGCGCACAUCUGUUGAGAAGGACAUGCGCAUCUGGGAAAAUAGGGCAUUGGCUCUCUUUUCUGACGCAGACUCACCAGCGCGACUUCCAGCUGCUUCGUCCGUUCACCCCAACGCGCCCAGGGAACGACACGAUG